CGAAAGCCUGACGGAGCAACGCCGCGUGAGGGAUGAAGGCCUCUGGGCUGUAAACCUCUUUUAUCAAGGAAGAAGAUCUGACGGUACUUGAUGAAUAAGCCACGGCUAAUUCCGUGCCAGCAGCCGCGGUAAUACGGGAGUGGCAAGCGUUAUCCGGAAUUAUUGGGCGUAAAGCGUCCGCAGGCGGCCUCGUAAGUCUGUUGUCAAAGCGUGGAGCUUAACUCCAUUUCGGCAAUGGAAACUGUGAGGCUUGAGUGUGGUAGGGGCAGAGGGAAUUCCCGGUGUAGCGGUGAAAUGCGUAGAUAUCGGGAAGAACACCAGUG
rnacentral:rRNA from 1 species